GUGGGGAAUCUUGCGCAAUGGGCGAAAGCCUGACGCAGCCAUGCCGCGUGAAUGAUGAAGGUCUUAGGAUUGUAAAAUUCUUUCACCGGGGACGAUAAUGACGGUACCCGGAGAAGAAGCUCCGGCUAACUUCGUGCCAGCAGCCGCGGUAAUACGAAGGGGGCUAGCGUUGCUCGGACUUACUGGGCGUAAAGGGCGCGUAGGCGGACAGCUUAGUCAGAGGUGAAAGCCCAGGGCUCAACCUUGGAAUUGCCUUUGAUACUGGCUGUCUUGAGUUUGGGAGAGGUGAGUGGAACUCCGAGUGUAGAGGUGAAAUUCGUAGAUAUUCGGAAGAACACCAGUGGCGAAGGCGACUCACUGGCCCAAUACUGACGCUGAUGCACGAAAGUGUGGGGAUCGAACAGGAUUAGAUACCCGAGUAGUCC
rnacentral:rRNA from 1 species